ACAACAGAAUCCGUGUCCCGUGGGGGAAGUCCGGUCCGAAUCCGGCGCUGACCCGCAACGGUGGGUCGCACGAGCGAAGGCGUGCGACGAGCCCGAGUACCCGCGGGACACGUGUCGCUCCA
rnacentral:ncRNA from 1 species